AUACUCGCUUUGACAGCACAUAUACUAAAAAUUAGAAUGAUACAGAGAAGAUUAGCAUGGCCCCUGUGCACGGAUGACACACACAUUUGUUAAGCAUUCCAUAUUUUU
rnacentral:snRNA from 1 species